GAUGAACGCUGGCGGCGUGCUUAACACAUGCAAGUCGAACGAUGAACCUCACUUGUGGGGGGAUUAGUGGCGAACGGGUGAGUAACACGUGAGUAACCUGCCCUUGACUCUGGGAUAAGCCUGGGAAACCGGGUCUAAUACUGGAUACGACCUUCUGGCGCAUGCCAUGUUGGUGGAAAGCUUUUGUGGUUUUGGAUGGACUCGCGGCCUAUCAGCUUGUUGGUGGGGUAAUGGCCUACCAAGGCGACGACGGGUAGCCGGCCUGAGAGGGUGACCGGCCACACUGGGACUGAGACACGGCCCAGACUCCUACGGGAGGCAGCAGUGGGGAAUAUUGCACAAUGGGCGCAAGCCUGAUGCAGCGACGCCGCGUGAGGGAUGAAGGCCUUCGGGUUGUAAACCUCUGUCAGUAGGGAAGAAGCCGGCUUUUGGGUUGGUGACGGUACCUGCAGAAGAAGCGCCGGCUAACUACGUG
rnacentral:rRNA from 1 species